GUGAGGAAUAUUGGACAAUGGGCGCAAGCCUGAUCCAGCCAUGCCGCGUGAAGGAAGAAGGAUCUAUGGUUCGUAAACUUCUUUUUUAGGGGAAUAAAGUGCGGUACGUGUACCGUUUUGUAUGUACCCUACGAAUAAGGAUCGGCUAACUCCGUGCCAGCAGCCGCGGUAAUACGGAGGAUCCGAGCGUUAUCCGGAUUUAUUGGGUUUAAAGGGUGCGUAGGCGGAAGAAUAAGUCAGUGGUGAAAGUUUGCAGCUCAACUGUAAAAUUGCCGUUGAAACUGUUUUUCUUGAGUGUAAAUGAGGUAGGCGGAAUGUGUUGUGUAGCGGUGAAAUGCUUAGAUAUGACACAGAACACCGAUUGCGAAGGCAGCUUACUAAGAUACAACUGACGCUGAGGCACGAAAGCGUGGGGAUCGAACAGGAUUAGAUACCCUAGUAGUCC
rnacentral:rRNA from 1 species